ensembl:lncRNA
AGGGCGGAAGCGAUGACGUCUUCCCAGCGGCCAGAGGAGAACGGGCAUUUUUAAGAAAUCAUUAUUUGUACAUAAAGAAAUAAAAGGUAAAUCCAACAGCCCAGAGACGCUUGCAUUUCAGUAGAAAUGGACUUUCUCGGGUUAAAAGGUGCUGAAAGAGAUCCCACUCAAUCACUCCUGAAUUUCCAGAAACAUAGGCAUUUGUCCAUGUCAAAAUUAUCCACUCAACGGGCAUCUCUUUGGCUCCACCCUCCAGUUUCAGAGUGUCCAAAUGGCAAAAGGCAGCCAGUUGGAUUGCCAAAUGCUCCUCCUCCACUCCUGGUCCUUCAUGUUCCUCUAAAGAAGACCUCCCAGUUCUCUUCUGCCUUGUUCGUGACCCAAAAGAGGCCUUUUAAUGGAAGUGUUCCUAGCAGAUCACCUCUUGGUCUUCUCCAUCAAUUACUAACUGUGACUCCUGCCGCUCCAUAGUAUAAAUGGCGAUAUUGGGUGAAUAGCUCCGAUACGUUUAUUGAUCUGAAUAUCAGGGUGUUAUCAAAGUCUACUGGAUUGUAUCACAGAUUUAGGGCUCUAAUUUAAUGACAUUUCUGAAAGAGCGAAAUACCCACAUCCCUGUCUCUCCCCGACAACUGGCAAAAACGGGGAACGCAGCUCUGAACACGAUCAAAUCAAGGGUGUCGACUCAGAGUGAGAUCGUACAGCUUCAAAAGUAAUGUCGAUCUGCUCGCAACUUCACGCAAACCCAGCAGAGCCCCCAGCAGGACCCCCACGUACCCGCCUCUCAAUCCGGAGUUCGGGACGGGGGAGCACCCCUACCCGGGUCCUUCCCGCCGGCCGCCCGGAAAGCCCGGAGCGCGGAAGCGGAGCGACCCUCGGCAGCCGGGGGACGGGCAUGCUCAGUAGACCCGCAGGUCUGGUUUCACUCGGAAGCCAGCCGCGGACCCCGCCCCCUCCCGCCCCGCACGGGCGCCCGGAGAAGCGGACAUUUUAACCUUCUCUGCCAUCCGCUCCCUCUUUCGUGUCCUUCGCCCCCUGUCUGAGUCCUUCCACCUCUCGCCCAUCGGGGUCUGGGGACAUUAACUUGAAGAAAAUCAGCUGUUUGCCAAGAAAGGAGGGCUUGGAUGAAAGAGGAUGAAAGGAAGCUUGUCUCACUUGCAGGAGGAGGAAACGCAGGUCAGCAACGGCACCAUUUCACCAGCACCAUCAUCAUCAGUUCUGAUAAAAAAUGUCCCAUAUCCACUACCGACUGCAGUAUAGUCUCCAAGUGGUAGAUUGUGGGUCAUGGACUGGGUCUGGAAGAGGCCUUACUAGAAAACUGAGACUCCAAGAGGCGAGAUGUACACUCAGCUACAGGAGCUGGGAAGGAGCUGCGGGAUCUCCCCAGCACCCCAGGACCCCGGCACAGACCCGGCACAGAGGAGAAGCCGCCAGCCUGCUUUGUGGUCAUGACAUUCUAGUUAUCACUGGAAGACCGAUAAAACUGAGUUUCCAGAUCUGGAAAACUGAGGACCUCAUCCUGGACUGAGAAGGACUGUACAGAUGGAUUUCCCUGGAGGCCCAUCGUGGCGGGCUGCUUCACUCACCCGGCAUAACCAGGCUUCUCAAGGAAUAGGGGCCGCGUUACCUAGGCUUCUGGGCUUGCCUGUAGCUCCUCCAAUUCCUCACUGCUCAGUCCUUACCUCUGCCUUGAACCUCCGUAACAUUGCUAGUAGGACCAGCAGAAUUGGCCUCCCCUGGGAGCUUGUUAGAGAUGCAGAGUCUUGGGCCUCACCCCAGACAUCCUGAAUCAAAAUCUGCAUUUUCAUACGAAGCCCAGGUGAUUCCAAUUCACAUAGGACUUUGAGGAACCCUUGUCUAAAGCACUUGUGACAGUAGUACUAGCAAUUGCUGCUGUAGAAUUUGUUAAGUACAAAUGCUAAGGGACUCGUGUCUACGCAGCACCUACUCUGUCCCAGCACCUUUUUGACUACCAAGUCACAGGGCCCGAGGGUAGGAUCCUUACUUUGCUUAUUGCUCCUUAGUGAUCAGUGUUUGCUGGGCACUGUGCCAGGCACUGGAAAUACAAACGUGAACGAGACAUUGGCCUGAUCACAAUGACUACGAGGUUGCCCAGCAGCACCGUCUGCACACAACAGGUACUCAAUGCGUGUUUCCAAGGUAGCUGAUCCCAGUGGGUUCGUGGGACCCUUAUGCAAGUAGCCUGGAUGUGAGCAGUAGGUGGGGUGGCCUUGCUAUGUGGAGCCCAGCUUGCUACGUGGAAACAGGAAGAAGUAUUAUGUGGCAACCCAGAAACACGGACAUUUGAACCGAAGCUGAUGUUAACAUGAAACAGGCACCAAAUAAGCCAUAUUCUUUGGCCAGUGUGCUCAGGAAGUUGGCAUUCUUUUGUUGUUUAUUUAUUCACCUAAGUCCAAGGGUCUGAAAACUAUGGCCCAUGAGCCAAGUCUGGCUUGCUGCUUGUUUUUGUAAAUAAUGUUUUAUUGGAAAACAGCCAUGCUCAUGCCUUUACACGUUAUUCAAGGCCACUUUCAGCUACAAUGGCAGAGCUCAAUAGUUGCAACAGAGACUGUCCUCAAAGCUGAAAAUAUUUACGAUCUGGCCCUUUAUAGAAAAAGUUUGCUGACCUCUGACCUCGUCUUCCCCUUUAGCUAAAAUAAAAACAUCAUUUUCAAUUGCUUUUAAAAGUGUACAAUAUAAUGUACAUAUAUACUUUUUUUGGUAGGGAAAUUCUACAAUGAUAUAACAAAGUUAUUUUUGAUUCCCUAUGGGGAAUUUGAUUUGGAAGAAUUAGGGAAAUGGAACACUUAAUUUUUCCUUAAUAUUCUUUAAUAUUUUUUGAAUUUUUA